GAUGAACGCUGGCGGCGUGCUUAACACAUGCAAGUCGAACGGAAAGGCCAGUGCUUGCACUUGUACUCGAGUGGCGAACGGGUGAGUAACACGUGUGUGAUCUGCCCUUUACUUCUGGAUAAGCUUGCGAAACUGGGUCUCAUACCGGAUAUGACAACUUUUUGGAUAUUGUUGUGGAAAGCUUUUGCGGUAUGGGAUGAGCUCUCGGCCUAUCAGCUUGUUGGUGGGGUAUUGGCCUACCAAGGCGUCGACGGGUAGCCGGCCUGAGAGGGUGUACGGCCACAUUGGGACUGAGAUACGGCCCAGACUACUACGGGAGGCAGCAGUGGGGAAUAUUGCACAAUGGGCGCAAGCCUGAGGCAGCGACGCCGCGUGGGGGAUGAAGGCCUUCGGGUUGUAAACUCCUUUCGCUAGGGACGAAGCUUUUUUGUGACGGUACCUGGAGAAGAAGCACCGGCUAACUACGUG
rnacentral:rRNA from 1 species